CGUCACUGGGGCGCUAUGGUGCCUGGAGCUGGGCAGUUUUCUCGUCAGAGUGGGGACUGGUAAGAGCGACCUCCCCGCCAGGUCCUGUGUGUUGCCGGCUGAAGAAGGGUAGCUGAAAAAUUCAGACCCAGCACAGUGUUUAUGUUGGUCAAAAAUAGAAAACUAUGUCUGGCGCGGCCGAGGCGGGAGGACCCUUCAGGCCAAGAGCAGCGUAGCAACAUGGCGCAACCCCAUCUCUGUAGUCCUACCUCAGCCCCCCAGCUACUUGAACCCAAAGGUUCAAGGCUCCAGUGAGCUAUGAUCCCACCACAGCAUUCCAGCCUGCGAGAUUGAGAUGAUGAUUAUUCCCCACCUUCUAAGAGACAAAGACCAACGAGCCACCACAGCCACCAGUCCCAGAACCCGCCAAUGCUGGGGAACGGAAAAUGAGGGAGUUCAACUCUGGUAAGUUCUCAGCGAAAUCCAUGACCUUUUCCUUUAUCUUCUGGACUCUCAAUGUGACUGAUGAAAGUUACCACAUGCUCUGCAGGGGGAAAUGGUUUAGCAUGUGUUACUACAUCUUAAUCACAUCUUUGUAAAGCCAGGAGCAUUUUACAAGUCACGUUACAGACAUUGUUUAAACAUAGUCUGUAUUUACCAAAGUAUAGGACAUUGUAUCAUCUCAUAUUAAUUAGUCAGUUGGCUCAAAAUUAGUGCUAAUGACUUAGUAAUUCAGUGAUUUCUGUUAGCUUUAAAACCUUUAUUUCAGAACUAUUUCACCUUUUGGUUUUCAUUUUUGCUGUGUGUCACUGCCUGCCGGCUGCUAAUUUAUUAACUCCCAGUGAAUCAUGUGUCCUGUGAAGGGACUGAAUAUUAGUGGCAAUUUAUGUUGAUGAUUUGUAUUUUGAAUAAAUAGUUUGAAUACAU
rnacentral:lncRNA from 1 species